CGCAGACGAGCGCGAUGCGACGCUUUGGCGAUUUAGCUCCGUGACGUGAAGCAUACUCAUAAAGCUAGAUUACCAAAGCACCGCGUCCCGCCACUCAUCGGUGG
rnacentral:pre_miRNA from 1 species